rnacentral:rRNA from 1 species
UACGUAGGGUGCAAGCGUUAUCCGGAAUUAUUGGGCGUAAAGAGCUCGUAGGCGGUUUGUCGCGUCUGCUGUGAAAACCCGAAGCUCAACCUCGGGCCUGCAGUGGGUACGGGCAGACUAGAGUGCGGUAGGGGAGAUUGGAAUUCCUGGUGUAGCGGUGGAAUGCGCAGAUAUCAGGAGGAACACCGAUGGCGAAGGCAGAUCUCUGGGCCGUAACUGACGCUGAGGAGCGAAAGCGUGGGGAGCGAACAGG